rnacentral:rRNA from 1 species
UAAGCAUAUCAAUAAGCGGAGGAAAAGAAAAUAACCAUGAUUGCCCUAGUAACGGCGAGUGAAGAGGCAAAAGCUCAAGUUUGGAAGCUCAAUGGUUUAACCAUUGCGCAUUGUAAACUGAAAACAGGAUCAAUCAGGUACACCGGGUGAUAAGUUCCUUGGAAUAGGACAUCAUGGAGGGUGAGAAUCCCGUCUUUGACCCGAGUCUUAGUAUCUUUUGUAUUGGCCUGUUCAAGAGUCAGGUUGUUUGGGAAUGCAGCCUAAAGCUGGAGGUAAAUCCCUCCUGAAGCUAAAUAAUGGCGAGAGACCGAUAGCGAACAAGUACCGUGAGGGAAAGAUGAAAAGAACUCUGAAGAGAGAGUUAAACAGUACGUGAAAUUGCUUAAAGGGAAGCAUAUAAAGCUAGGAUGCGAUUGUUUUCUUCAGGUUGAGCUUUGGCUUGACUGUUCAGAAGGAUAAUCCAAGACAACAAGAAUUGGAGGAGGAGAAUAAGCCAUUGGGGAAGGUAAUCCUUCGGGAUGUUUAUAGACCUGAUGGUUCGCGCUCUUCUUUCGAUUGAGGUACGCUUUUUUAAAGGUUGUUGUCUGAAUGGCUUUAUAUGGCCCGUCUUGAAACACGGACCAAGGAGUCCACCUAAUGUGCGAGUAUUUGGGAGGUAAACCCAUAUGCGCAAUGAAAGUGAUUUUACCUAUGAGGGGGUCUCUCGGGGCCUCUGCAAUAGGAUCGGGCAGGGACGUUUUAUACUGAACUGACUCAGAUAAAGCACAUUGGAUGGGACCCGAAAGAUGGUGAACUAUGCUUGGAUAGGGUGAAGCCAAAGGAAACUUUGGUGGAGGCUCGUAGCGAUUCUGACGUGCAAAUCGAUCGUCGAAUCUGAGCAUAGGGGCGAAAGACU